CGGGUGAGUAACGCGUGAGAAUCUGCCUUCAGGACGGGGAUAACAGUUGGAAACGACUGCUAAGACCGGAUGUGCCGAGAGGUGAAAUAUUUAUAGCCUGAAGAUGAGCUCGCGUCCGAUUAGCUAGUUGGUAAGGUAAAAGCGUACCAAGGCGACGAUCGGUAGCUGGUCUGAGAGGACGAUCAGCCACACUGGGACUGAGACACGGCCCAGACUCCUACGGGAGGCAGCAGUGGGGAAUUUUCCGCAAUGGGCGAAAGCCUGACGGAGCAAGACCGCGUGGGGGAGGAAGGUUCUUGGAUUGUAAACCCCUUUUCUCAGGGAAGAACAAAAUGACGGUACCUGAGGAAUCAGCAUCGGCUAACUCCGUGCCAGCAGCCGCGGUAAUACGGAGGAUGCAAGCGUUAUCCGGAAUAAUUGGGCGUAAAGCGUCCGUAGGUGGCUGUUCAAGUCUGCCGUUAAAGACCGGGGCUUAACCCUGGAAAGGCGGUGGAAACUGAACGGCUAGAGUGCAGUAGGGGUAGAGGGAAUUCCCAGUGUAGCGGUGAAAUGCGUAGAGAUUGGGAAGAACACCGGUGGCGAAAGCGCUCUGCUGGACUGCAACUGACACUGAGGGACGAAAGCUAGGGGAGCGAAUGGGAUUAGAUACCCC
rnacentral:rRNA from 2 species